GAAAUUGCAGGUUUCGGUUUUUCAUAUAACAAAAAUUCAACAUUAUCUCUUUUUCUUUUGUGGCGUUUACGUCAAGAAUGUUUAAAUCUUGCAAUUUUCUAUAAACCAUGCUUAGGUUUUCUUCCAUUUCACGCAUUUCAGAUUCCAAACUUUGAAGCUUUCUCUCUUAUUUUCUCACCAGAUAAGUUUUUCAUUCGUAUCAAAUUCUUGUUGAAUUCGUUGUGUUCGUUUUCACGAAUUAAGUUUUCUGAUAAUUCUAGAGAGGAGUUUCGUUCUCAUUCAAAUCUGAAUUUGGUUGUUGUUGUUGUUGUUGUUCCCUCUCUCAGUUGGGAUUUGUAUUCAACAGAAACAAAUCCUGAUUUGGAGAGAUGGGUAUAUGUUUAA